rnacentral:rRNA from 1 species
UAGAGUUUGAUCCUGGCUCAGAUUGAACGCUGGCGGCAUGCCUUACACAUGCAAGUCGAACGGUAACAGGUCUUCGGAUGCUGACGAGUGGCGAACGGGUGAGUAAUACAUCGGAACGUGCCCGAGAGUGGGGGAUAACGAAGCGAAAGCUUUGCUAAUACCGCAUACGAUCUCAGGAUGAAAGCAGGGGACCGCAAGGCCUUGCGCUCACGGAGCGGCCGAUGGCAGAUUAGGUAGUUGGUGGGAUAAAAGCUUACCAAGCCGACGAUCUGUAGCUGGUCUGAGAGGACGACCAGCCACACUGGGACUGAGACACGGCCCAGACUCCUACGGGAGGCAGCAGUGGGGAAUUUUGGACAAUGGGCGCAAGCCUGAUCCAGCCAUGCCGCGUGCAGGAUGAAGGCCUUCGGGUCGUAAACUGCUUUUGUACGGAACGAAAAGACUCUGGUUAAUACCUGGGGUCCAUGACGGUACCGUAAGAAUAAGCACCGGCUAACUACGUGCCAGCAGCCGCGGUAAUA